UGGGGAAUUUUGGACAAUGGGCGAAAGCCUGAUCCAGCAAUGCCGCGUGUGUGAAGAAGGCCUUCGGGUUGUAAAGCACUUUUGUCCGGAAAGAAAUCCUUGGCUCUAAUACAGUCGGGGGAUGACGGUACCGGAAGAAUAAGCACCGGCUAACUACGUGCCAGCAGCCGCGGUAAUACGUAGGGUGCAAGCGUUAAUCGGAAUUACUGGGCGUAAAGCGUGCGCAGGCGGUUUGCUAAGACCGAUGUGAAAUCCCCGGGCUCAACCUGGGAACUGCAUUGGUGACUGGCAGGCUAGAGUAUGGCAGAGGGGGGUAGAAUUCCACGUGUAGCAGUGAAAUGCGUAGAGAUGUGGAGGAAUACCGAUGGCGAAGGCAGCCCCCCUGGGCCAAUACUGACGCUCAUGCACGAAAGCGUGGGGAGCAAACAGGAUUAGAUACCCUGGUAGUCCACGCCCUAAACGAUGUCAACUAGUUGUUGGGGAUUCAUUUCCUUAGUAACGUAGCUAACGCGUGAAGUUGACCGCCUGGGGAGUACGGUCGCAAGA
rnacentral:rRNA from 1 species